CUUGACCCCAGACUGCAACUUCCUUCCACUGUCCAACAUCUCUUGAUGCUUUUACUCACUCAAAGGAUGGCCUCUUUUCUCAAGAUCAUAAUUAAAAAAGGUGGCUCCCCCAGGAAUUACCGAUAUUCAGGGAUAAGUGAAUUAGUGCAGAAGAGAGUAUACCAGAAGGGGAUGAUUUACAGACAGAAAUCUCAAAGCAAACAUCAUGUCAAAGUCUGACAGAGUCCCUCGAUUCAUUGGGCUUCAACAUUGUCGUUCUUUGAGUGGAGGUGGAAUGUGUUCAUUUAAUCUGCCUCCAAAGGAUAUUAAAUAUCAGUGAGGCUGGAAACACGCAGAUACCCGAGUGAGAGUGCUGUGUGUCUGGGUUGGGGCGUUGUGAGUGUGAGAGAGA